rnacentral:lncRNA from 1 species
GGUCGCUGGUCCCCGGCAACACGGCUCAGGCAAACGUAAGCGGCUUGUCGCAGAAACCAAGGGGUCCACGAAACGCGCUAGGCUAGAAGGCGGGAAGGAGAGAUUACUGACAGCCGUGCCAGCCAAUAAAAUAGAAAUCAACAGUGAGAGCUCAGAAAUUCCCAGACUGUUUUGAUGAUAAGGUCCAAGAACUUGCCAUGUGAUCCAUCACUACUAGACUCCCACAACUGCAUUAGAUUUGUUCAGGAUUUUCAUAUAAUUUUCAUAACUGGCUAAGUUCUGAAAUAACCCAUCUUGAAGACAUAAACAAUGUGCAUUGAUGGCUAGCCAGACUCUGUCCUGCCACAGUUCUCCUCCUACUCUUCAUUUCUUACCCCAAGGAGUAGUAAACAUGAAUCCUGACCCACCAAUGCAGUCCCAGAACUGAGAAAAGAUUCACUGCAGCUAAACACAUUGGAAAUGGAUGGGGAGAAGGCCUGAUGAAAAUUACUGAGGAAGCCUCUUAGCCUAUGUGCUCUGAGAGUAGUGACACCUAGCAGUCGUUCAAAAGAUGAUCAAGAGGAGCAUGAAAAAAUCCCCUGAAUCCAUUGGCUUUCUUCCCUAUACUGACAACAGUUUACUUGUGUAAGAGAUGCAUGCCUCGACUCCGGACCCCUUCUUUCAUCUGCAAAAUCAGCAGCACCCUCACAUCAUCUCCUGUAACAAACUCUCUCUGUCUCCUCCAUAUAAGGUCACUGAUGGUUACAUUUAGGGUCCAUGAUAUAAGAAGAUGGAUGUCUAUUGCUUUUCUCUUGAUAUUCAUGGCACUGCUCCUCUCCAUCCAUAGGAUUAUCUUAUAGAUGAGGGUCUCAUCCUUUUGCCCAGGCUGGAGUACAG